AUUGAACGCUAGCGGGAUGCUUUACACAUGCAAGUCGAACGAGUGGCGGACGGGUGAGUAAUAUAUCGGAACGUGCCCAGUAGCGGGGGAUAACUACUCGAAAGAGUGGCUAAUACCGCAUACCAUUGGAUCGGCCGAUACCGGAUUAACUAGUUGGUGGGGAAAAGACUCACCAAGGCAACGAUCCGUAGCUGGUUUGAGAGGACGACGAGCCACACUGAGACUGAGACACGGCCCAGACUCCUACGGGAGGCAGCAGUGGGGAAUUUUGGCCAAGUGACGAAACCCUGAUCCAGCCAACCCCAGUGUAUGAGAAGGCCUUCGGGUUGUAAAGUACUUUUGGAAGAGCAGCGGUAUCUGCAGGGUAAGCACCGGCUAACUACGUGCCAGCGACCGCGGUAAUAC
rnacentral:rRNA from 1 species